rnacentral:lncRNA from 1 species
UUAGACACAAGCGUCAUAGCCCUAUAUGAAAACUACGUUCUUUUCUACUUUAUUUAGGUUUUCAUAUAGGGAGUCUACACGUAUAUAUAUACACCGUCCUCUUCGGUCAUAAUGAGGAAAAAUUUUAUUAUGGCGCGACGUGAGCGUCGUAGCCUUGUAUGAGUUUCUAUUUUUCUAAGUUGUUCAUAGAAUUCAUACAAGAAGUCUGACGAGUGUAAAUACAUACACAUAUAUGUCUAUAUAUAGUUUAGCCUGAGAGGCUCCAUUUUAUUUGAGUUGGUGACUAGCCGGAGCUAGUCGUGAAAUUGCCAGUUUUUGAGUCGAGCGCUUUUGAGCAGACGCAUGCAGUAUAAUUUCUUUGGAAAAUAAAAUAGGAAUGCAUAAAUAUUUUUUAUUAAUUUAUUUUUGUCCACUCACUCUAACGUUUUCAAAUGUUUUCCCCUGUGCCUUUCGUUUUAAAAAUGCCCAGCUUGCAGGUUAGCUUAGUUGAGGUCGGGCGUAUAUGGAGAUGAGGCAUAGUCAUCAUAUAGCUUGUUCAUGAACCCUAAGUUGUUCAUAGAAUUCAUACAAGGAGUCUGACGAGUGUAAAUACAUACAUAUAUAUGUCUAUAUAUAGUUUAGCCUGAGAGGCUCCAUUUUAUUUGAGUUGGUGACUAGCCGGAGCUAGUCGUGAAAUUGCCAGUUUUUGAGUCGAGCGCUUUUGAGCAGACGCAUGCAGUAUAAUUUCUUUGGAAAUUAAAAUAGGAAUGCAUAAAUAUUUUUUAUUAAUUUAUUUUUGUCCACUCACUCUAACGUUUUCAAAUGUUUUCCCCUGGGCCUUUCGUUUUAAAAAUGCCUAGCUUGCAGGUUAGCUUAGUUGAGGUCGGGCGUAUAUGGAGAUGAGGCAUAGUCAUCAUAUAGCUUCCGCUUGUUAAUUUAUUAUGUUUUAUUUUUUCCUAUUAGAGUUGCUCUGAACCUACAAAAGGUUGGAUAUGAGAUUUGUUUAGAUUAGUAAUUAAUUUGGGUGGUGUUGUGAUUUGGAGAGCACGAAGGCUCUAGGAGUUUAAGGUUGGAUUUAAAUUUUCAGAAGUGUUUGCAGGUUUUAUUAGGAAGGGUUGUCCAUUUUCAAGGGAGGUUAUGCCGAAUUUUCGGUAAACUUUCUUUGGAGGUGGUCCCCGCAGGAUUUACUUCAGGUUUCAGGGUGAAAUUCGGGGUGGGCCUUGACACACUCACUCUAACGUUUUCAAAUGUUUCCCCUAGGCCCUUCAUUUUAAAAAUGUCCAGUUUGCAGGUUAGCAUAGUUGAGGUCGGACGUACAUGGAGAAGAGGCAUAGUCAAUAGUAUAGCUUCCUCUUAUUUUUAUAUUUCUAGUUCCUUUUCCUUCCAAAUAAAGUUGUUCUGAACUGUGGUUGUUGGUUAUGAGAUUUUCUUGUUAAAGUUAGUAAAUAUAUUGGGAGAUGUUGUGAUUUGGGGAGCACGAAGGCUCAAGGAGUUUAAGGUUGGAUUUGGAUUUUCAGAAGUGUUUGCAGGUAUUAUUAGGAAUGGUUGUCCAUUUUCAAAGGAGGUUAUGCCGAAUUUUCGGUAAAUUUUCAUUGGAGGUGGUCCCCGCAGGAUUUACUUCGGGUUUUAGGGUGAAAUUCGGGGUGGGUCUUGACAUUUUACCACGGCAUGAAGUUGCCGUCUCAAAAUGGUUUUAAUUUAGCGACGGAAGCGUUGCCGUCGCAGCGCCGUCGCAAAACUUGGACCAAUGGCGACGACAAAUCUGCACCGUGGCAAUUUGGGGUGGCUAACUAAAUUCUUUUUUGUAGUGUCGCUUAAUCUAACUCCGAUUCACUUAGGAUCACCACUGGAUUUAUUUAUGAUCCCUGUCUACGACACAACAACCAAUUCUUCAUUUAUCUCAAAAACUUGACGAACCAGACAGAAUCUCUAACCUUCAAAUUAUAUUGCAUGCACUCCACCAUCUCAAAAUUUGGGAAAGGAACAUUUCGGUUACAUAAAGCUGCAACAAAAAUAACUUAUGUAUCGCCCAAAACGUGUUCCAUCUAAAAUCUAAUUUACCAAGUUACUAGCGUGGAGGGUAAACAAGUCCUCAAACUGGAUAUGUCAAAGUAAAUCUCCAACUGCAAACGAGGUGACGUUAGCAAACAAACUUCGUUCACUCUUUACACUAAUAUCAUGUCAUUCAAGACUUGUAUUGACUAACUCAAUACAACACCGGCUGAAAGUACUAUGGACACCCAUCCACGCUUCUCCAAACAAUCUUUUCAUCUUCAGCUACUCUAAAUAACAAAUUAUUCAAC